rnacentral:rRNA from 1 species
AUACGGAGGAUCCGAGCGUUAUCCGGAUUUAUUGGGUUUAAAGGGUGCGUAGGUGGUUUGAUAAGUCAGCGGUGAAAGUUUGCAGCUUAACUGUAAAAAUGCCGUUGAAACUGUCGGACUUGAGUGUACAUAAGGUAGGCGGAAUUCGUGGUGUAGCGGUGAAAUGCUUAGAUAUCACGAAGAACUCCAAUUGCGAAGGCAGCUUACCGGGGUACAACUGACGCUGAGGCACGAAAGUGUGGGUAUC